GAUGAAGAACGUAGCAAAAUGCGAUAAGUAAUGUGAAUUGCAGAAUUCAGUGAAUCAUCGAAUCUUUGAACGCACAUUGCGCCCGCCAGUAUUCUGGCGGGCAUGCCUGUUCGAGCGUCAUUUCCACCAUCAGGCCCCCGGGCCUGUGUUGGGGACCUGCGGCUGCCCGCAGGCCCCGAAAUUCAGUGGCGGUCGCGCCGUAGCAACCGAGCGUAGUAACUAAAACGUCUCGCUCUGGCUCGCUGGGCGCGCUCCGGCCGUAAAACACCCCCCCUUUUCGCAAAGGUUGACCUCGGAUCAGGUAGGAAUACCCGCUGAACUUAAGCAUAUCAAUAAGCGGAGGA
rnacentral:misc_RNA from 1 species